rnacentral:rRNA from 1 species
GACGAACGCUGGCGGCGUGCUUAACACAUGCAAGUCGAACGGAAAGGCCCUGCUUUUGUGGGGUGCUCGAGUGGCGAACGGGUGAGUAACACGUGAGUAACCUGCCCUUGACUUUGGGAUAACUUCAGGAAACUGGGGCUAAUACCGGAUAGGAGCUCCUGCUGCAUGGUGGGGGUUGGAAAGUUUCGGCGGUUGGGGAUGGACUCGCGGCUUAUCAGCUUGUUGGUGGGGUAGUGGCUUACCAAGGCUUUGACGGGUAGCCGGCCUGAGAGGGUGACCGGCCACAUUGGGACUGAGAGACGGCCCAGACUCCUACGGGAGGCAGCAGUGGGGAAUAUUGCACAAUGGGCGGAAGCCUGAUGCAGCAACGCCGCGUGCGGGAUGACGGCCUUCGGGUUGUAAACCGCUUUCGCCUGUGACGAAGCGUGAGUGACGGGAAUGGGUAAAGAAGCACCGGCUAACUACGU